CUCAGUUUUGAGAGUUAAUUGAGUGUGAAAGCCGUCCUUCACCUAGCUUGUUGGGAACACAAAGUUUCUCUUCAGUUGCAAACUCCACUCCAUACAUAUAUAUGGGAAGGUACAAGCUCCAACUCGGUUUUACAGUGAAAACUGCAGGAACGUCAAAGCGGCACUAGGAAACAGACUGAAAUACCAGAAUAAGUGUUUCUGCUGCAACCUGUUCACUUUGUGCUAGAU